AUUCUAGGUAGGGCAGCCACAAAGGGCCAGACAUGUAAGCUGAGGCUGUUGGUAGAGCUCAGGGAAGAGCAACCCAAGGUGAAGACACAAGGUGUGUACAAUUCUGGGCAUACCUCAACAACGGAAAGACUAGUGAAGCUGGCCCAGGAAUGGGGAACCGAACUGGCAGAUACAAGAUCAGGUGAGGUAGCAAAGGCCAUUCCUCCUCCAUUGUGCUGUGUUCAAGAAAACUGCAGAGUUAAGAAAGAACAAGGAUCAUCAAUCAGGACUUCUGGGACUUUCAUUUUUAACCAGAGUUGAAAACACAGGGGCUUGGAGACCUUUCUGGUAACCCUUUAAACUGAAGUCAAAGGGUUCAA
rnacentral:lncRNA from 1 species